rnacentral:rRNA from 1 species
CAACAGGGAUUCCCCUAGUAACGGCGAGUGAAGCGGGAACAGCUCAAAUUUGAAAUCUGGCCCUCGGGUCCGAGUUGUAAUUUGUAGAGGAUGCUUUUGGUGCGGUGCCUUCCGAGUUCCCUGGAACGGGACGCCUUAGAGGGUGAGAGCCCCGUACGGUUGGACGCCUAGCCUCUGUAAAGCUCCUUCGACGAGUCGAGUAGUUUGGGAAUGCUGCUCUAAAUGGGAGGUAUAUUUCUUCUAAAGCUAAAUACUGGCCAGAGACCGAUAGCGCACAAGUAGAGUGAUCGAAAGAUGAAAAGCACUUUGAAAAGAGGGUUAAAUAGCACGUGAAAUUGUUGAAAGGGAAGCGUUUAUCACCAGACUUUUUCUAGGGGGAUCAUCCGGUGUUCUCACCGGUGCACUUCCCCUAGUUGAGGCCAGCAUCGGUUUUCGGAGGGGGAUAAAAGCUUCGGGAAUGUGACUCCCUCGGGAGUGUUAUAGCCCGUUGCAUAAUACCCUUCUGGGGACCGAGGUUCGCGCAUCUGCAAGGAUGCUGGCAUAAUGGUGAUCAACGACCCGUCUUGAAACACGGACCAAGGAGUCGAACAUUUAUGCGAGUGUUUGGGUGUCAAACCCUCACGCGUAAUGAAAGUGAACGGAGGUGAGAGCCCUUACGGGUGCAUCAUCGACCGAUCCUGAUGUCUUCGGAUGGAUUUGAGUAAGAGCAUAACUGUUCGGACCCGAAAGAUGGUGAACUAUGCGUGGAUAGGGUGAAGCCAGGAGAAAUCCUGGUGGAGGCUCGCAGCGGGUUCUGACGUGCAAAUCGAUCGUCAAAUCUGCGCAUGGGGGCGAAAGACUAAUCGAACCAU